GAGAAGGAGCCUGAGAAACGGCUACUACAUCCAAGGAAGGCAGCAGGCGCGCAAAUUACCCAAUCCCGACUCGGGGAGGUAGUGACAAUAAAUACUGAUACAGGGCUCUUUUGGGUCUUGUAAUUGGAAUGAGUACAAUUUAAAUCCCUUAACGAGGAACAAUUGGAGGGCAAGUCUGGUGCCAGCAGCCGCGGUAAUUCCAGCUCCAAUAGCGUAUAUUAAAGUUGUUGUGGUUAAAAAGCUCGUAGUUGAACCUUGGGCCUGGCUGGCCGGUCCGCCUCACCGCGUGUACUGGUCCGGCCGGGCCUUUCCCUCUGUGGAACCCCAUGCCCUUCACUGGGUGUGGCGGGGAAACAGGACUUUUACUGUGAAAAAAUUAGAGUGCUCCAGGCAGGCCUAUGCUCGAAUACAUUAGCAUGGAAUAAUAGAAUAGGACGUGUGGUUCUAUUUUGUUGGUUUCUAGGACCGCCGUAAUGAUUAAUAGGGACAGUCGGGGGCAUCAGUAUUCAAUUGUCAGAGGUGAAAUUCUUGGAUUUAUUGAAGACUAACUACUGCGAAAGCAUUUGCCAAGGAUGUUUUCAUUAAUCAGGAACGAAAGUUAGGGGAUCGAAGACGAUCAGAUACCGUCGUAGUCUUAACCAUAAACUAUGCCGACUAGGGAUCGGACGGUGUUAUAUUUUGACCC
rnacentral:rRNA from 1 species